rnacentral:rRNA from 1 species
AGAGUUUGAUCCCGGCUCAGAAUCAACGCUGGCGGCGCGCUUAACACAUGCAAGUCGAACGAGAAAGCGGGAGCAAUCUCGCAAGUACAGUGGCGUACGGGUGAGUAACACGUGGGUAAUCUACCCUUUAGUGUGGAAUAACGCUGGGAAACCGGCGCUAAUACCGCAUAAUCCCGAGAGGGGAAAGCAGCAAUGCGCUGAAGGAGGAGCCCGCGGCCGAUUAGCUAGUUGGGAGGGUAAAAGCCUACCAAGGCAAAGAUCGGUAGCCGGCCUGAGAGGGCACACGGCCACACUGGCACUGAAACACGGGCCAGACUCCUACGGGAGGCAGCAGUGGGGAAUCUUGCACAAUGGGGGCAACCCUGAUGCAGCGACGCCGCGUGAGCGAUAAGCCCUUCGGGGUGUAAAGCUCUUUCGGCAGGGACGAUAAUGACGGUACCUGCAGAAGCAGCUGCGGCUAACUACGUGCCAGCAGCCGCGGUAAUACGUAGGCAGCGAGCGUUGUUCGGAGUUACUGGGCGUAAAGGGUGUGUAGGCGGUUUUCUAAGUUUGGUGUGAAAUCUCCCGGCUUAACCGGGAGGGUGCGCCGAAAACUGGGAGACUAGAGUGCGGGAUGGGAGAGUAGAAUUCCUGGUGUAGCGGUGAAAUGCGUAGAUAUCAGGAGGAAUACCGGUGGUGUAGACGGCUCUCUGGACCGCAACUGACGCUGAGACACGAAAGCGUGGGUAGCAAACAGGAUUAGAUACCCUGGUAGUCCACGCCCUAAACGAUGCAUAUUUGGUGUAGGUCAUUCAGUUGAUCUGUGCCGGAGCUAACGCGUUAAAUAUGCCGCCUGGGGAGUACAGUCGCAAGGCUGAAACUCAAAGGAAUUGACGGGGGCCCGCACAAGCGGUGGAGCAUGUGGUUCAAUUCGACGCAACGCGAAGAACCUUACCUGGGCUCGAACGGCCGGCUAACGGAGGUGGAAACACUUCUACUCCGCAAGGAGGUCCGGUCGAGGUGCUGCAUGGCUGUCGUCAGCUCGUGUCGUGAGAUGUUGGGUUAAGUCCCGCAACGAGCGCAACCCUUGUCCUGUGUUGCCAUUCCGCAAGGAGGAACUCGCAGGAGACCGCCAGCGAUAAGCUGGAGGAAGGUGGGGAUGACGUAAGUCCUCAUGGCCUUUAUGUCCAGGGCUACACACGUGCUACAAUGGCCGGUACAAAGCGCAGCUAAGCCGCGAGGUGGAGCCAAUCGCAAAAAACCGGUCUCAGUUCGGAUUGCAGGCUGCAACUCGCCUGCAUGAAGCUGGAAUCGCUAGUAAUGCCGUAUCAGAACGAUGGCGUGAAUAC